UAAUUUGAUUUUGAUUAAAAGUGUUAUUAAUUAUUAAGCUUCUCAUAAAUUAAAAAAUAAAAUAAACCAAAUAAAUUGUUAUAGUUAUUAAUACAAUUUUAUAUUAGUGAUUUAUACUUUAAACAUUUAAUACUUUAAAUAUAGGCUUAAAUUAAUUAAAUUAACUAAAUUCGUGCCAGCAGUUGCGGUUAGACGAUAAAUAUAUAACAAUAAAAACUUUUUACACGUUGAUAUAAAAAAUAAUGUGGGUCUAAUUAAAUGAGUUUUAUUACUUAAAUCAACAAAAAUAUAACAUAAAUUAAAACAAGGAUUAGAUACCCUUCUAUUUAUGAAUUAAAUUAAUAAAGUUGGACAUUAAAAACAUUUGUUCUAAAUCCAAAAAAUUUGGCGGUACUUUAAAAAAUCAGGGGAACUUGCAUAUUAAAUCGAUAAUCCACGAAAAUCUUACUUUUAAUUGAAACUCAGUUAGUGUACUGCCGUCAUAAUAUAAAUUUAUAAUUAUAUAUAUUACAGAUGCUAAAUCUUUAAUAGCAGGUCAAAGUGCAGCUUAUAUAAAAGGAUCUUGUGAGUUACAAUAUUUAUAAAUAUGGAUUAUAUAAAAAAUUUUGUAUGAAAAUGGACUUGAUAGUAAUUAAUUAAUAUAAUGAAUCAACUCUUAAAGUGUGUACAAAUCGCCCGUCACUCUCAAAAUGGGAUAAGUCGUAACAUAGUAGGUAUAAUGGAAAUUAUAUCUG
rnacentral:rRNA from 2 species